rnacentral:rRNA from 1 species
CCUACGGGUGACAGCAGUGGGGAAUAUUGCGCAAUGGGCGAAAGCCUGACGCAGCGACGCCGCGUGAGGGAUGAAGGUCUUCGGAUCGUAAACCUCUGUCAGCAGGGAAGAACGGUCACUGUGCUAAUCAGCAGUGAAUUGACGGUACCUGCAAAGGAAGCACCGGCUAACUCCGUGCCAGCAGCCGCGGUAAUACGGAGGGUGCGAGCGUUAAUCGGUAUUACUGGGCGUAAAGCGCUCGUAGGCGGGAGGUCAAGUCAAGGGGGAAAUCCCCGCGCUCAACGGGGGAACUGCCUUUGAAACUGGCAAACUUGAGUGUGUGAGGGGAUAGUGGAAUUCCAGGUGUAGGAGUGAAAUCCGUAGAGAUCUGGAGGAACAUCAGUGGCGAAGGCGACUAUCUGGCACAUAACUGACGCUGAGGAGCGAAAGCGUGGGUAGCAAACAGGAUUAGAUACCCGUGUAGUC